UUGAAUCGGUCCAAAAUCAUUCUUUAGUAUUUUAUCUUUAUGUUUUUUAUAUAUAAUGUUUCAUAAGUGUCUGAUUAUCAUAGUUAGUUCAUUGCUGGCUUAAGGGAAAUAUUGAGAUUUGUUCUUAACAAAUAAAGUUACUGCAUUGCUUAUAUAUGGCUCUAUGUAAAGGUGACUGAUUCAUUUUAAGAAUACAAAAAGACAAGAUCAAAUAUUACUUUGAAAAUAUGUCGACAAAGAGUAAAAAGUACAAUUAUUGUAUGGACAAAUGAGAUAUCCACAUAUUAUAACAUUACUUAGGAACUGGAAGUGGUUUUCACUGGUGAACGUUCUGACAUUUUCAUAUAUAUAACAUUAAUUCUAAACAUGUUCCCGCUUGUGUUGGCAGGACUGUACGUGUUCAGCUGCAGCCGCUGCAGUAAACGCUACAAGUACAAACGUAACUUGCACCAACACGUCAAGAACGAGUGCGGGAAGGAGGCUCAGUUCUUCUGUUCCUACUGCGACUUCAAGGCCAAACUGAGCUUCAACUUGUACAGGCACCUCCGUAACGUCCAUCACCUGCAAGUCAUAUGUGGCAAAAACGCAAACAACCCUUCCGUUUGAUGUGUUUUCAGUUAUUUGCCAUUCAUAGAUUCAACCCUUCCAGCCAUAGCUCAGGUUGGAGGUGGACGUGGUGGCUGUUCUACACGGGGACCUCAGUACUGCGGGGAGGUAUAGCUCAGUGAUCUGCCAACUAGAGAAAUACAUGUUACAAAAACAUGUUAUUGCAGUGUGAAUACUGCAAAAUGUUCUCGUCGAUUCCUAUUAAAUGCCACUAGGACAAGAACUGCCUACCGGCUCAAAUGUGCUAUCCCCCGCUUUCCAGUAAAUUCUUCUGUUGUUAGCCUCUGAUAAGUUCUGCUUAUGUUUUCUCUUGUAUAAGUGUUUUCUGUCGACAGGUAAAUAAAAACUUACAGUAGUGUUGUACUACUACUGAUCUGUGUACUGAAGAAAAUAACUCUAUUGUACGUUUUCAGUUUGAACAUUAACGCUUUGUUACAUAUACCAGCAUUUUUGUAUUUCUUGCUGCUGGUAUGUAGAUGUUAUACUCUUUCCGUGCAAUUUAAUAUUAUGUGAUCUACACAUUAUGUUUAAAAAAAAAAUCAAACAUUUGUGAAGAUAUUUAGUUGUAUACCCUUUUUACAUUCUUUUAUCCAUGAAUUAUGAAUGUAAAAAUACAGUAUCGUGUACUGACUUGUAUUGAAGUAUUAUCUGAGAUUUCACUUUAAUAGCGGUAGUGUAGAGUGUAGAGCGUUCUCCAACAUUGCAGACUAACUCCAACUGAAAGGUUUGUAGAACUGUAGCUGAUUUCACUCGUAGUAGGUUACACAUGGUAGCACUGUAUCCACUGAGCUUCCGCUUGUUGUGUAGAUGUCUUGUAGCUUGUCGUCGCCUGCCUAGACCGUCCCGAGAGGGAGUAGAGAGAAAAUGUAUGUUCUGGCACCAAGGUCAUUGACCUCAUGUUCUGUUGCGGCAGACGCGGAGAGGACACUGCACCUCGACGUCAGCAUCUUCUUCUGUCAAAAGUGCGGCAAGAAGUAUAAGUGGAAGGGGAACCUGACGUACCAUCUGCGGUACGAGUGCGGUAAAGACCCGCAACAUUUCUGCGCUCUCUGCAGUUACAAGACGAAGCACUCCUCGUCUCUGUCCCGACACAUGAGGAACAUUCACAAGACUGGCGGUGACUACGUGUUCGGCAGAGACUGCAAGUGAUCGCAGUACUUGGCCUGGCUCCAGUCCUACUUGUAGGCAGGGCCAGCUGCAACCUACUUGUAUGCGAAUUACACUUCAAUACGUGGUAUAUGUAAUUCGCUGGACAAUGACUAAAGAAGGGAUUUGAACUACGAGUUAGUGUCAUUAUUUAAACCAGACUGAUUGAGUAUGACUUAAAACAAAAUAAUAACUUACUAAAAUCGUAAUUGAUUUAAAGCCACUUCGCAAGUGGGAAAUGUAUUGUACAUAUAGAGGAUCUUGUUUUAUUCUACAUUAGAAUUGGCAUUUACUUGCAGAGUGGUCUUAUAACAAAAAAUUUAGUUAACUCGUCAUUGUUUGAAACACUGACAAUGAGAUGUUUAGUUGUUUCUCAUAGAAUCCUGAAACCCGAUGUUUUAAACUUAAAUUAUAUAUACACACUCAUUUCUAUUGUGAAUAUAAUUCAAAACGUGUAAGUAAAUAAAAGUAUCCACAGCAAAAUAGUAAUUUUAUGAUGCUUCGAAUCCUCUUGUUGAAAAUGGUAUAAUUAAGUACACACAAUUGUUCUUACCAAUCAAUGGUGCAUACAUUACAUGGUACAAACACUUAAAGGAUUUUGGAUUUAAAUAAACGUCAAGUUUUAGUGUCCUAAGAUAGUUUUUAAAAUAUUUCUCUAAACAACACAUACAAAUUGUAAUUUUAAAUAUAAUUUAAUUCCAAAAAUAAUACUGAUAAUUAUUAUUACGUCUUAACUUUGUAAGUUCCAUAAUUUUGUUCGAUUACUCAAGUUUAAAACAUUAGAAGUAACGUUUUGCUUAACCCUAGUCAAUACUCUUAAGUCUUCAAAUAAUACCAAGUAGCUGAAAUGGAUUUAGAUUAUUAGAAUAGCUUAGUUUAAUUUAUUUUUCUAGUCACACUAUUAUUAUUGCAUUAAUAGUGUUAGUAAAUAUUCUAUAACUAAACUAUUUACUGUAUUGUUACAAUAUUUCAGUUUGUGGUCAAGUUGUACUAAAAUAUUAAAAAAAUAAAGUACCUCCAUAUUGGUCUACAGAUUACCAAUUUUGCCGAGUUACAAAUUCAUAUAAUUUCGUAUGUGGCUAUUUAUUACUCAAUAACAUUAAUUUAGGGCUCAAUAAGUUUUUGUAUUUUAUUGAUAAACAUUUUUAAGUUUUUGUCAAAUUAAAUACUGUGACAAAAUAACCACGGUAAUCCAAAACACGUCUUAAGUACAGGUAUACUUGAUUAACUUUUGGAACAUCUUUUACCUAACCUUCCUUAAUGGAUGGAGAUGGUUGGGAUUUUGAUGUGAAAUAAUUUACAAAUUAAAACUAAUGGGUUUUGUUAGUGUAUAUGAAAAUAUUAUUUUGCCUGAUAAUUCUUUAUGAAUAUAACAGGAGUAUGUGUUACACAUUGAGUUAUUAAUAUACUAUUGUAUAAGUGUAUAAGAGUGUAAACCAUAAAAUAAUAUCAACAAAAUGUAAGAUAGUUUAGUGCAUUAUUAAAGGAGUCACUGAAACGGAGUUGGUGGCCUUAUUUGGUGUAUUGUUAAAACACACACAGUAAAAACUUAUAUUAAUAAGCUUAAGCAUUAAUGUAUUGCAACCCGCAGUUGCUUUGCUAAGAUAAUUAACUAUUGUAGUGUACCGCAACGUUUUAAAAAUUAUUGGUUUUCGUCUUAGUUUCAUUAAUUGCUGUUUAUUUAAAUUGUUACUCUUUGUAUUAGUUGUAGGAAUUGAGUUUUAAUUAAGAAAAAGACCUCCAUACAUGUGAAUUAACCAUUAUUAAUGUUUAAUUUAAGAGAACAAAUAAUUUUAUAGAGUCCAUUGUAAAAAAUAUAUUAAGUAAAAAAUCAGCUGUUCACAUUAUUUUUAGAAUAAUUAUUCACCAUUUAUAUAAUAACUGCAAUUAAAUGGAUGUAUUUUAUUAGAAAUAUACACUUUAUCAAAAA